rnacentral:rRNA from 1 species
CACUCCUACGGGAGGCAGCAGUGGGGAAUUUUGGACAAUGGGCGAAAGCCUGAUCCAGCAAUGCCGCGUGUGUGAAGAAGGCCUUCGGGUUGUAAAGCACUUUUGUCCGGAAAGAAAUCCUUGGCUCUAAUACAGUCGGGGGAUGACGGUACCGGAAGAAUAAGCACCGGCUAACUACGUGCCAGCAGCCGCGGUAAUACGUAGGGUGCGAGCGUUAAUCGGAAUUACUGGGCGUAAAGCGUGCGCAGGCGGUUUGCUAAGACCGAUGUGAAAUCCCCGGGCUCAACCUGGGAACUGCAUUGGUGACUGGCAGGCUAGAGUAUGGCAGAGGGGGGUAGAAUUCCACGUGUAGCAGUGAAAUGCGUAGAGAUGUGGAGGAAUACCGAUGGCGAAGGCAGCCCCCUGGGCCAAUACUGACGCUCAUGCACGAAAGCGUGGGGAGCAAACAGGAUUAGAUACCCUUGUAGUCCCAUG